AUCCACGACAUAAAUAGGGCUGACAUAUACUAAUCACACUUUGCUAAUGAUCAUAAAACUUCACAACUUUACUUAAACGUAGACUUAUAAUUUGAAAUUGUUUCCAUUUAAAACUGGAUAAAUAAUUA